rnacentral:rRNA from 1 species
CCUACGGGUGGCAGCAGUGGGGAAUAUUGGACAAUGGGGGGAACCCUGAUCCAGCGAUGCCGCGUGAGUGACGAAGUAUUUCGGUAUGUAAAGCUCUAUCAGCAGGGAAGAAAAUGACGGUCCUUGACUAAGACGCCCCGGCUAACUAGGUGCCAGCGGCCGAGGUACUACGUAGGGGGCACGCGUUUUCCGGAUUUACUGGGUGUAAAGGGAGCGUAGACGGUGCAGCAAGUCUGAUGUGAAAGGUCGGGACCCAACGCCGGGACUGCAUUGGAAACUGUUGAACUGGAGUACAGGGGAGGUGAGCGGAAUGCCUAGUGUAGCGGUGAAAUGCGUAGAUAUUAGAAAGAACACCAGUGGCGAAGGCGGCUUACUGGACUGUAACUGACGUUGAGGCUCGAAAGCGUGGGGAGCAAACAGGAUUAGAUACCCGUGUAGUC